rnacentral:rRNA from 1 species
UUUUCCUACGGGAGGCAGCAGUGGGGGAUAUUGCACAAUGGGGGAAACCCUGAUGCAGCGACACCGCGUGGGUGAGGAAGCGCUUCGGCGUGUAAAGCCCUAUCAGUGGGGAAGAAAAAGGACGGUACCCAAAGAAGAAGCACCGGCUAAAUACGUGCCAGCAGCCGCGGUAAUACGUAUGGUGCAAGCGUUAUCCGGAUUCACUGGGUGUAAAGGGAGCGUAGACGGCCGUGCAAGCCAGGAGUGAAAGCCCGGGGCCCAACCCCGGGACUGCUCUUGGAACUGUGCGGCUGGAGUGCGGGAGG